GAGAUUUGGGUGCCCAGAAACCUGGAGGUGGAGACAGAGUCCACCCAUUGUCCAUUCGGAUGGUGAGUUUUGAGCGGACAUGCUGUCUCAUCUUCAUCAGACAUGAACUCCAACCAGUGGCUUGACUGAAAGACAGCACAGAGGUACUAAUCGGGGCAUUUUCAGUGCUGCCAUCUUGGACAGAUAGUGUAUGGGGUGUUCUGACUUUCUGAGAGUGAGGAAAGAAUACAAGACUGGGGGUCAGGAGAAGACUAGCCUAACAUCCCCCGCCCGGGAGCCAGGACAUCAUUAGAAUCAUGGAGGAGAGAGGAGCACUUGAAGGAGAGGAGACAAGGAGAGGGGAGAGGUGGCUGUCAGUUGGAGGUUAAGAGUCUGCUGUCCAGUCAAUCAUCCAAUCCCAACCUCAGGAGCCUGUUUGAGUCUGCCAAUCACUGAGACAUGCACACACCCAGCCUGGAGGGAGGAGAAUCAAGCCCUUUCUCAAGUAUGUGAGUCCGUACUCGCGAUUUGUACAAUUGGAACAGCAGCAUACUUGAUGAUAUUACCUUCCCGGAGGUUUUACUGCCAUCC
ensembl:lncRNA